AAUAUAUGAUUUUGUUAUUUAAAUUAGCUUGCAAGCAAUUGACGCUUUGACAAUGUGCUGGGGGAAAGAAAUGAAUGAAAAUUUACAAGCUAAACCAGAAUCAAUUGUUCGCUGCAAUUAAGUCGUUAAUUAAAGUAGGAAAAGAAUGUCUUCAAGUGAAGAGGAUCCUCCAUCCAUAUUGGUGGCAACACGUGUGGACGAGUUCGAUGGACCUUUACCGCAAAAAAGCGCUAAGAAGCGUAGCCAGUCCAAAAAGAGCCGCCGUCGUAGCUCGUCGAAGAAGCGCAGUUUUGAAAACCAGAUAAAAGGCAGACAGG